GACGAACGCUGGCGGCGUGCCUAACACAUGCAAGUCGAACGAGGUCCAGGGGAGCUUGCUCCCUGACGACCUAGUGGCGAACGGGUGAGUAACACGUGAGAAACCUGCCUCGGAGUGGGGAAUAACUCGGGGAAACUCGAGCUAAUACCGCAUACCUUCACAUGAUCGCAUGGUCGAGUGAAGAAAGAAUUUCGCUCUGAGAGGGUCUCGCGGCCUAUCAGCUUGUUGGUGGGGUAACGGCCUACCAAGGCAACGACGGGUAGCUGGUUUGAGGGAAAGAUCAGCCACACUGGGACUGAGACACGGCCCAGACUCCUACGGGAGGCAGCAGUGGGGAAUCUUGCGCAAUGGGCGAAAGCCUGACGCAGCAACGCCGCGUGCGGGAUGACGGCCUUCGUGGUUGUAAACCGCUUUCAGCAGGGACGAAAAUGACGGUACCUGCAGAAGAAGCCCCGGCUAACUACGUGCCAGCCGCCGCGGUAA
rnacentral:rRNA from 1 species